AGAGUCCUCAUGCACCUAUAGUUGUAUGGUCUGCAGUGAGGUAGCCGAUGCCAGAGCUGUGUCCUCCCUCCAUAGAAGCCAGGAGAAAGGCCAGACCGAAGUGACCUGCUGAAGCCUUUGUCUUUUGACAUUGAAUUCGGUUUGCCCACUGCCAUCAAGACUGCUUUUAAGGAGCUUCCGCGGCAUGAUCUCUUACAGGAACCCGGAGGGCCGAGAAGUCCUGCUGUGUUUGGUGCCAUCAUCUCUUACUUUGAACAGUUUUUUGAAACUGUUGGAAUUUCUCUGGCAAAUCAACAGUUGGCAAACUCUUGUGCGCAGAACCAGAGAUGAGUCCAUCUCAGCAACAGUGUCGCCAGCUCUGCACACACAUUUAUGUUGAAAGACUCUCAGAAUGUGCAGAAGUCACAGGCACAUGCGUUUCAGGAGACGGCAGCGAGGCUACCUUGCAUGGUGUGGUGGACGAGCUGGUGCGGUUCCGGCAGAAGGUCCGGCAGUUUGUGCUGGCCAUGCCCGAGGCCACGGGGGACGCCCGGCGGCAGCAGCUCCUAGAAAGGCAGCCCCUGCUGGAGGCAUGCGACACCCUGCGCCGGGGCCUGACUGCCCACGGCAUCAACAUCAAGGACAGAAGCAGUACAACAUCCACGU
rnacentral:sRNA from 1 species